CAUUAAAGAGUUCUAUAACUCCCAAACCCAUGUGAACAUACCUAACGUUGCCUCGGCAGGUCGCACCUACCUUGUAGCACCCUACCCUGUAGGGCCUACCCGGGAGGUGCGGGUAAGCCUGCCGGCGGCCCACCAAACUCUGUUUGAUAUUGAAUUCUGAACCUAUAACUAAAUAAGUUAAAACUUUCAACAACGGAUCUCUUGGUUCUGGCAUCGAUGAAGAACGCAGCGAAAUGCGAUAAGUAAUGUGAAUUGCAGAAUUCAGUGAAUCAUCGAAUCUUUGAACGCAUAUUGCGCCCAUUAGUAUUCUAGUGGGCAGGACCGUUCGAGCGUCAUUUCAACCCUUAAGCCUUCGUUGCUUAGUGUUGGGAGCCUACGGCAACGUAGCUCCUCAAAGUUAGUGGCGGAGUUGGUUCACACUCUAGACGUAGUAAUUUUUUAUCUCGCCUAUUAGUUGGACUAAUCCCCUGCCGUAAAACCCCCAAUUUAUCAAGGUUGACCUCGAAUCGGUUCAGACAAACUCGCUAAAUUGAAGCAUCUUAGUCAGCGAAGGAAAAGAAACCAACAGGGAUUGCCCUAGUAACGGCGAGUGAAGCGGCAACAGCUCAAAUUUGAAAUCUGGCCCUCGGGU
rnacentral:rRNA from 1 species